UAGACCAUGAAGAACAAACUACAAGAAAGGGGCAAAGCUGACGUCUAUAAAGGACUUUUUUCACACGUUUGAGUCAAACUCUGAUACAGCAACAUACUGCGGUUGAAGCCUAUUCAGGAUGGACUUUGGAGACAAGGACAAGAUGACCAGUAUACACAUUAGAAGGACAAUGAUGAAACUCUGUCUYUUAUAUGAAGAAAAUCUAUCUGUUAUUCCAAACAGCUUUGUCUCUUGCUGUUGUUGUCACUCAGUCUGAUGUUUGGAGCACCUUCKCUCUUGGAGACACAGCUGAUUUGGAAUGCUUCAUCACUGUGUAUGACGAUGGCAGGACAAGCCCCAGAUGUUAUCUCUGUAUUAUCACUGCAAUUUUCUUCGGAGAGUUUGACAAAAAGCUUUGCUUUGCUACAAGGGAGAGUGGCAKCAGAUUUGUGGAAAAGCUGCAGAUUCCAGGACCCAGCAUGUUGUACAGUAGUCUGUGUCUGAGUCAGUCUAGCCAGGAGACUCUGUGACUUUGAACUGUAUAAUACACACGGAGACCUGUGCAGGAGAACACAUUGUCUAUUGGUUCAGACAUGGCUCAGGAG